AAUAUCAGAAUAUUAUUUUCUGUGCUCAGUGAAAAUACUUUGUGAAUUUUUCAAACAACUUUUAAAUGGUCAACGAACUGACCUUAAAUCAACAACUCGCUCGAGUUCAAAGUUCGUUGUCGUCAGUGAAUUCUUUGCCUAUAGAUGCGUCUCUAUGGAAGAAUAUGCAUAUUGAAAGCGAUACUACUCGCCCAUUGUAUCGCGUCAAGUCGGAAUAUGUUAAUUUAGGGAAAUCUCCAAAGGAUUAUCAUCAUUUCAUGCAGCUGCUGGAUUAUGUGCGUCUUCAUUCGAAUUAUGAAUACUCCAAUUGCAAUUUGAGUGCGAUUUGGAAUUAAGACACAAACUUUACUUUAGAAAUGCAAAUUCUCGGAAUAAAGCAACUUUAAAGACAGACUGAAAUAUCAUUGUGUGUGUUUCCAAACGUGCUUGAAACGUUUGCUUUCUUUUUGUGGUGGUAAAAAGGAUAACAAUGGAGCCAAGGACAGGCAAUGGCAGCUCGCAAUUUUAAUGGCAUGUAUUAUAAACUAUAGUAUUUGCAAUUGUAUUCACGAUGUGUGUGGUUGCUGUCUGGCAGCAGGCAGAAGGCAAGGAUAUGCUCGUAGGUACAGAGAAGAGACGGGCUCCUAUGUGUGAAGACUGCGUAAAGAGCUUAUGUAUUUGGCUCACGAUUUCGAGUUCGUUCGUUGCAGAAAGACAUUCGUUGCGGCGUAAAAUUCAACAACGGGUUUCAUGCAGAGCCUGUAAAUUAUGUUGCCCAAAGGAUAUGCGCCAGACACACACACACACACACACAAGCUCACACACAUGCAUACAUGCAUACUUAUGCACAAUCAACAAGAAACUUGACUAAAAUGAUGUACUUAAUUUUGGUUUUCCUAUUUAAUAAACUGCAUGCAGAGGCAGCUGCGUCCAAUACGA